rnacentral:rRNA from 1 species
GACGAACGCUGGCGGCGCGCUUAACACAUGCAAGUCGAGCGAGAACCAGGGCUUCGGCCCUGGGGACAGCGGCGAACGGGUGAGUAACACGUGGAUAACCUGCCCUCGGCACCGGGAUAGCCCGGGGAAACCCGGAUUAAUACCGGAUGGCCCUUCCGGCUUUCGAGCUGGUCGGAAAAGGUAGCUUCGGCCUCCGGCCGAGGAUGGGUCCGCGGCGGAUUAGCUAGUUGGUGGGGUAACGGCCUACCAAGGCGACGAUCCGUAGCUGGUCUGAGAGGACGAUCAGCCACACUGGGACUGGGACACGGCCCAGACUCCUACGGGAGGCAGCAGUGGGGAAUCUUGCGCAAUGGGCGAAAGCCUGACGCAGCGACGCCGCGUGAGGGAGGAAGGCCUUCGGGUUGUAAACCUCUUUCAGGAGGGACGAAGCUACUCGGGUUAAUAGCCCAGAGGGUGACGGUACCUCCAGAAGAAGCCCCGGCUAACUACGUGCCAGCAGCCGCCGUAAAAC